rnacentral:rRNA from 1 species
AUGUCAGAUGAACUAAACUAUGCAAUUUAUCUUAGCUACAAGGACUUGCCCUCUUGCUUAAAACAAUGCUUCCUGCACUUCUCCCUUAAACCCAAAAAGUCUGAGCUAAGUCUUGGUGAAAUUGUGUCCAUGUGGAUUUGUGAAGGAUUGCUUCAAGGAGGCUCAACUAGUUUGGAAGAAGAAGGGAAAAGGAACUAUAAAGAGCUAAUAUUAAGGAACCUUAUAGAGAUAGAUCCAUCAUUUCCUAGCCAACUUAUCUGCAACAUGCAUGAUGUCAUCCGCUCAUUUGCUCAAUUUAUGGCUAGGGAUGAAACACUAGUAGUUCACAAUGGAGAUACUGCUAAAGAAAACCUUAAAUCAUCCAAUUUUCUUAGACUGUCUGUAGAAACCAAAGGUGUGGGAUCAGAUGAAUUUGAGUGGAUAUAUUUAAGAGAGCAGAAAUUGCUUAGGUCACUAAUAUUAACUGGAAACCUCAAAAGUCAGCCUGGGGAUUCGUUGACUUACUUCCCAAGUCUACGUCUUUUGCAUAUAGAAUCUGCAAAUAUUGCUGCACUAGUUGAAUCUAUGUACCAACUGAAGCACCUGAGAUAUUUGGCAUUAAAGAGGACUGAUGUGUGUAGACUACCAGAGAACAUCCAUGAGAUGAAAUUCCUACAGCAUAUUAACCUUGAAGGUUGUGAAAGUUUUAUGAAAAUUCCUGAUAGUAUUAUCAAGCUGCAAGGGUUGAGAUAUCUUGAUAUGGAUGACACACGUGUAAGUAGUAUUCCUAGGGGUUUCCGAGCUCUUACAAAUUUGACUUCACUAUUUGGGUUUCCAGCCUAUAUUGAUGGUGACUGGUGUAGUCUGGAAGAGUUGGGUUCUCUUUCCCAACUCAAUGAACUUUCAAUACGGAGUCUAGAAAAUGUAUCUAGUGCCUUGUUGUCUGCAAAGGCAAGGCUAAAUGCAAAGAAACAACUUAUCUCUCUUGGUUUGAAAUGUGAUGGUAGAGUGGGAGAUGGGUUGGUCCAAGGAGAAGUCUCUGAGUCUAAGGAGGAGGAGCAAAUAAUUGAGGCGGUGUUUAAUGUGCUCUGUCCUCAUCCUUGCAUAGAACAAAUCAACAUCGAGAGAUAUUUUGGUCGCCGGCUCCCAGGAUGGAUGGCGUGCACAGCUAUGGUGCCUCUCGAGAGCUUGAAGAUUCUAGCCCUCGAACAUCUGCCCUGCUGCACCCAACUCCCAGAUGGCUUGUGCAGGCUCCCGUAUUUGGAGUGGAUAAAAGUGGACGGGGCUCCAGUAAUCAAGUGUAUUGGUCCUGAAUUCGUUCAACAGUACAAUCAGCUGCACCGUCCUUCAUCUCAGUUGGCUGCUACGUUUCCCAGACUCCAGAAGUUGGAACUUCACGGAAUGGAGGAAUGGGAGGAGUGGGUUUGGGAGACGGAAGUGAAAGCUAUGCCCUUAUUGGAGGAACUUUGCAUCAGUGGUUGCAAACUGGGGCGUAUGCCUCCUGGACUUAUGUCUCAUGCAAUGGCUUUGAAGAAGCUAGAAAUAUGGAACGUCCAAGGUCUCCACUCUCUAGAGAAUUUUGUUUCUGUAGUUGAGCUCGACCUGUAUGACAUACCCGAAUUGGGCAAGAUCUCCAAUCUUCCAAAACUACAAAAGCUUCAAAUCAAGUACUGCCCAAAGCUCGAGACACUGAAGGACAUGGAUGCACUCCGGAGACUCGAGCUGAGAGUUUCUCCCUGGGAAUAUCAACUUCCAGUCUACCUGCAAACUGUAAAGCCAAGUCAUUUGCUGCUGACCUGCAACCUAGCAGUACUCACUUUCAUGGCUGAGGGUGAAUCUAGCUCCGAGUGGGGCAAGUUCAAUCAUAUUAAGCAAGUCGAGGCUUAUGCAGAGGAUGGACAGGAUGAGAAGAAAUGGCACGUGCUCUACACAUCUGAAUCCUGCAACAUACAGACAAAUAUUCAUCAGGCCUGGCGCAGUGGUGAAGUCCUCCCCACUUGUGCCAAGAGGUCCUGGGUUCGAACCAGCCUCUCUGCAUUGCACUUUGCAGGGGGUCGAUUGGUGGAAGAAGAGGACUAG